GCGCUCUGGGCAUCUAGGAUGACUUCUCCCGCGUGCUUCUGCGGGACGGGGAGAGGAAGGGCACAGCGGCUGCAGGUGCAUGGCCGCCACACAAACAUGCAUGUCUUUCCUUCAGAGCAGGCGCUCGGCCUGCGGUUCCGCAUUCACGUGCACGGCCAUCCGUCUGCUGUCUGUCUUCGGGAGAGCGGAGACCGGAAGCCCUCUGAGGACAAGGGCCGUGUGUCUGUCCACCUUGCAGCCUCCACGCUCCUCCCAGCGCCUGGCGUGCAGAGGUCCUCAGCGGGUGAAUUCGCCGAUGCCCUGCCGCUGGUGCCCAGGCCGCCGUGCGGCGCCCUCCUGGGGCAGGCUGGGCAGCGAUGUUUCCCGCCAGACUUGGGAAGACACCCAGGCGCAGAGCAGCUGAGCGACCUGCCUGAGGUCAGCUGGCUCAUGGGCGAUGGAGUUAAGCAGGCACAGGGGAAAAUCGGCAAAGCACCUGCAGUGGAACCAAAAGGUCUGUUGAUCCAGGAGGGGCGACUUAGGUCCCUGGUGGCAGAAGAGCCCCCCACCCCCAGAGAGGGGACAGCAGUGCCCCCCUCAGAGGCUGCUGUGGUGGCGAGGGGGGAAAACACAGGUGACAGUGACGCAAAAUGGAAAGAAAGUGCGGCUCUGUGCCCUCCAUCCUGGGGAAGGGCUGCUGGCCUCUGCUCUCUUCUCCGGUGCACCUGAGCCUUCGCGUCCUGAAGUCUGGGACACGGCCCUGCCACGGGCGGGGCUAACCCUGCUGGCAGUCCUCGACGCACGGCCUUUGGACCAGACGAGUUUGCUUUCCUGGCGUUGGGGCCGAUGUCGUGGAAGCAGGUGUGUGGAGAGGGGCAGACGGGGGGCGUUCCCGUGACGUGGACCGCUGGUCAUGGAGGCUCAGGGAGGGACGUCUCAGCCUUCAGAGGCGGCUGCUCCCCAGAUGUCCUCCAUUCCCGCUGAGGCAGUGUGGCUGCCCGGGUGGUAGGGAAGGGCCCUCACCCGGCCCAGGCAGGUGUUCGGGGUGGGGAGAGAGGCAGCGCCCCUGCUGGGGAGGAACGCCUCCCAAAUGCACUUCCCCACACCUGCCCGGCACAGGUGAAUAAGCUGUUGGCUAAAG
rnacentral:lncRNA from 1 species